AUUGAACGCUGGCGGCAGGCCUAACACAUGCAAGUCGAGCGGAGCGGCGGACGGGUGAGUAAUGCCUAGGAAUCUGCCUGGGAGUGGGGGCUAACGUCCGGAACCGGGCGCUAAUACCGCAUACUAUCGGAUGAGCCUAGGUCGGAUUAGCGAGUUGGUGGGGUAAAGGCCUACCAAGGCGACGGUCCGUAACGGGUCUGCGAGGAGGAGCAGUCACACGGGACAGUGGAUACGGGCCAGACUCCUACGGGAGGAACAAGGGGGGAAUAUUGGACAAGGGGCGACAGCCUGAUCCAGCCAGGCCGCGGGUGUGAAGAAGGGCUUCGGAGUGGAAAGCACUUUAAGUUGGGAGGCGUUACCAACAGAAUAAGCUCCGGCUAACUUCGUGCCAGCCGCCGCGGUAAUAC
rnacentral:rRNA from 1 species